rnacentral:lncRNA from 1 species
GUGUUGAGUUAAGUUUUAACAGAUGAAUCUAAAUAGUGGGCCAUCGGUUCUCAAUCUUGAAUAAAAAAUAUUUUGGUAUAGAUCUUUUUCCUUCAAAAUUUGAAGUUUGAACUCUUUUGAUCGAUAUUAUUCCUCUGACUGAUUGAAAAAGAUUGAGGUUAUCUAUUGAUAUUAAAGAUUGUUCUACAAAAGAUGGAUUGAAGUUAUUUAUAAUUUAAUCUAAUAAUGAAUUGAUUAAUUAAGAGUAGUUAAUAUUUAGAUAAAGAAAAUUGAUAUACUUACUUAGAAUAGAG